GGUCAAGGGUCACAGUUAGGC
rnacentral:misc_RNA from 1 species